rnacentral:rRNA from 1 species
UACGUAGGGUGCGAGCGUAAUCGGAAUUACUGGGCGUAAAGCGUGCGCAGGCGGUUCGCUAAGACCGAUGUGAAAUCCCCGGGCUUAACCUGGGAACUGCAUUGGUGACUGGCGGGCUAGAGUAUGGCAGAGGGGGGUAGAAUUCCACGUGUAGCAGUGAAAUGCGUAGAGAUGUGGAGGAAUACCGAUGGCGAAGGCAGCCCCCUGGGCCAUACUGACGCUCAUGCACGAAAGCGUGGGGAGCAAACAGG